GAUGAAGAACGUAGCGAAAUGCGAUACGUAAUGUGAAUUGCAGAAUUCAGUGAAUCAUCGAAUCUUUGAACGCAUAUUACGCUCUCUGGUAUUCCGGAGAGCAUGCUUGUUUGAGUAUCAGUAAACACCUCAACUUCCAUAUCUUUUUUGAAAUGGGAGUUGGACUUGAGUGAUCCCAACGCUUUUCCUCACCGAAAAGUGGCGGGUUACUUGAAAUGCAGGUGCAGCUGGACUUUUCUCUGAGCUAUAAGCAUAUCUAUUUAGUCUGCCUAAAAAACAGAUUAUUACCUUUGCUGCAGCUAACAUAAAGGAGAUUAGUUCUUGUGCUGACUGAUGCAGGAUUCACAAAGACAGGCUUCGGCCGACUUUGUAAACUCGAUCUCAAAUCAAGUAAGACUACCCGCUGAACUUAAGCAUAUCAAUAAGCGGAGGA
rnacentral:misc_RNA from 1 species